rnacentral:ncRNA from 1 species
GCCGACGACAGAUCUUUCAAAUGUCUGCCCUAUCAACUUUGAUGGUAGUAUAGAGGACUACCAUUGUUGCUACGGGUAACGGGGAAUCAGGGUUCGAUUCCGGAGAGGGAGCCUGAGAAAUGGCUA